UCUUAUGGAUGAGCAAAGAAAAUGGUUUCUUGAGAUGGAAUCUACCACUAGUGAAGAUGCUGUGAA
rnacentral:pre_miRNA from 2 species